GCCCCAGUGGCUUAGUCGGCAGAGCGGCUGACUUGUAAUCAGCAGGUCCCGUGUUCAAAUCACGGCUGGGGCU
rnacentral:tRNA from 1 species